rnacentral:rRNA from 1 species
CAGUAGCCGCGGGAACACGUAGGGUGCAAGCGUUAAUCGGAAUUACUGGGCGUAAAGCGUGCGCAGGCGGUUAUAUAAGUCAGAUGUGAAAUCCCCGGGCUCAACCUGGGAACUGCAUUUGAGACUGUAUGGCUAGAGUGUGUCAGAGGGGGGUAGAAUUCCACGUGUAGCAGUGAAAUGCGUAGAUAUGUGGAGGAAUACCGAUGGCGAAGGCAGCCCCCUGGGAUAACACUGACGCUCAUGCACGAAAGCGUGGGGAGCAAACAGGAUUAGAUACCCCCGUAGUCCCUGUCUCUUAUAC